UGUGAGUGAGACCGACCAUCCCUUGAGUAAGUGGCAAAGGACUUGAUGAUUGGUACUGAGGUCCCAAGUUCGAAUCCUAGUUGAUUCAUAUUUUUAGCUAAGUUUAUUUCUAAAUUAAAUAAACGAAAUGGAUAGUGUGCUACCUAUCUCUCAAAAAAAANAUUUUUAGCUAAGUUUAUUUCUAAAUUAAAUAAACGAAAUGGAUAGUGUGCUACCUAUCUCAAAAAAAAAAAAAAAAAAUUUAUUGUGAGUGAGAAUAUUACGAGCGUAAGAGGCAAAUGACUUGAUAGUUGAUAUUUGAAAUCUUAUAAGUUCGAAAUAUAAUUAUUUCAUAUUUUUAAUUAAAUUUAUUUUUAAAAAAAAUAAAUAUACGAAAGUG
rnacentral:lncRNA from 1 species